rnacentral:rRNA from 1 species
UACGUAGGGUGCGAGCGUUAAUCGGAAUUACUGGGCGUAAAGCGUGCGCAGGCGGUUUUGUAAGCCAGAUGUGAAAGCCCCGGGCUUAACCUGGGAAUGGCAUUUGGGACUGCAAGGCUUGAGUGCGGCAGAGGAGACUGGAAUUCCCGGUGUAGCAGUGAAAUGCGUAGAUAUCGGGAAGAACACCUGUGGCGAAGGCGGCUCUCUGGGACGGUACUGACGCUGAGACGCGAAAGCGUGGGGAGCAAACAGG